GUGAGGUCUCACGCUCUUCAGCACACUUCCUGAGACACGGUUUGUCGCGGCCACCUGGGGGGUGUCGGCGGGGUCCCUGGGUCCGAACUGCUGUGGCUCCGGACCGUUUACGCUGCUGAGAGCGUGCCGUGUUUUCACCUUACCAGACCGCAGACUUUUUAAUUGUUUAUCAUUGCACUCACUUUCAUUAAAAUGUGUUAUCCUUUGA